CUUCCAGCCAACCCCAACACAGGCAUAAAAAGCCUGUAAAACCACAAGCAGGGAAGAUCCAUGCCUGUGCCUACAGCAGCCAGGCUUUCUGCCCCUGUGCAGGUCUAUUUGUCCCUGCCAGCACCAGCCAAAAAGGCCAGCCCAGCCUCUGCACAGGUGCAGACAGCCCCCUAACCCAUACCCACUGCUCCCUUCUCGAAUUCAAAGGAAGGGAGGAGAUCCCUCCUUGUCUUUUCCCCUACAACAACCAAUCUUGGUGCCCCUGUGCAGAUCUACCUACACCCACCAGCACCAGCCAAAAGGACCAACCCAGCCUCCGGACUGGGCUCAGAAAACUGUUAUGCCAAGACAGACUUCCACUUCCUCACUCCUCCAGUGUAAACCACUUAAAUUUUGCUGGUGAACAGAUCUGUUAUGCAACUUCUGAAGGGAGCUUUCUACAGCCCUCUCCUCAUCCCACCCAGAAGAAAGGCCAACAUCUAGCAGUAAAGGUCUGAUUGUGGAGACUGGAGUGCAGCUUUAUAAUCUCCAUUUAACGUUACUGUUCUAUCAUAAGUUGUCCAUUGUCCAACUCUCAGCCUGUGGGCUGCGUGUGGUCUACAAGGGACGGAUUGACACAGCUCCAGCCCAGCCACCACUCCUUCCACUCCCCAUCUGCUGCUGCUGCCACAGUUCUUCAUGUUCCUCUUCUUUUCUCCAACUUCAGCUUCCUGCCCCUGUGCCACCUGCAUGGUACUUUGUGGCCUGCAGCCUGUGGCAGGAAGCUACCUUUGUUUCUCCCCAAAAUCUCUGCUCUAUGACAUUUUGAUUAGGAUAGGCCCAGCAGAGAAGAUACACCUUUACCCUGUCUCUUCAAGUAAUCUGAGGUGGAUACAUUCCUGAGGGAGGGGGGAAACCUGCUCCCUCUCCUACCUGACAGCUAUCUGGGGGAGGGGCUUCUACCUGGUGGGCUAGAGUCUGCCCAGCAACUACUGAUGUGUUUCAAAUUGGUUGGCCAACAGCCAACAGGUGCUGGCCUCCAUUGGCCCAGGUGAAUGAGGUCACAGGGGCUAUACAAGUUAAGACUGCCCAGGAGGUGGGGGGUAGCAGCCAUGCAGGGGACUGAGACUUAGAGAGGAGUUUAGCAUCUAAAACUCACUCUCUCCCCCAUAACUCAUGAGCUAGGAACAGCCUGCCUCCAAAGGGAAUCUGCAACAGCCUCGGGAUGAUGCUUGUGAGUAAGCUACUCAAGAUCUGGUUCAAUAUAUAGCUGGCAGUAACUCAGAUGCAUGAUCAAAAGGUUACCUCAGCCAGACUGUUUUGCUCUAUGGGAUUUCUAUGAGAUUGCUCUAUCCUGUACCUGAUUUUCAUGCUACCCCCUGUAAUCAAUACAGUUCUUCUUUGUGACUGGUGUAGGAGACUUAUUGAGGGGUGGGUCUGAAUUAUGCCUAAGAGGCCCCUUAGAUCUGUGGACUAAGGCAGACUUUCCUUUUUGGCCCCCAACUUGGGGAAGUGCCC
rnacentral:lncRNA from 1 species